AGUUCCCUUCAGGCUGUUGAGCUUGAAACACGUCAUGAGGUUCCUCUAUCGCUAUCCUGUUGUAAAACGAGAGAUCGCAAUAUAUUUUUGCAUUGUGAUUUGAAAAAUAAAACUAUUUAAAAAAAAAAAAUCGUGAUGUAUUUUUUGUUUUAAACUAAUGUGACUUUGACAGUUUUUGAUUUUAAAAAUAAAUACUAUUUGUGCAGUGACACAGCUCAAUUUCCCCAUACUGUGCUUUAGUGUACAUAAUUUGAAAAUAAUAGUGUCUUGGACAGGUGUUUUUUGUGUUUUCUAAUUGGAUUUCUGUGAGCUAUAGCUACUGGUUUAUUAAGGCUGCGGUUAGAAAAUAUUGUCUAAAGGAUUUCAAGAAAAUAAUGUACACAAUGAUGUAGAAAUGUACAUUGUCCAUAAAAUUAAAGUGAACCGAACCCAGUGAUCUAGUGUAGUGUAAUAAGUGUAAGUGAUGUUAUCGUGAGGACGAGGCAAUGUUGAGGCCGUUUGGGCCCUUUGCGUGGGCCUGGCUGGUGCUCGCGUUGGGCCACACGAGUGCCUACACCGACACCGAGGAUUUUCUCAGCG
rnacentral:misc_RNA from 1 species